AUGAGGCACAGAGCAGCUGAUGAUCUUCUGGGCUGUGAUGACAACCCUCUGGAGAGCUUUCCUGUCUGUGACUGUGCAGCUAGAAAACCACACACACAGACAGUAGGUCAAAAUGCUCUCUAUGGAGCAGCGAUAGAAGGACACCAGCAGUCCCUGUGGCAGACGGUUAUUCCUGAGAACCCUCAGGAAAUAAGAGUCUCUGCUGUACCUUCUUGAUGG